UAGGUAAGAAAACUGAGAACGAUUAGAGGUGACAAUACGAAACAAAGUGUACGGAGAAUUACGAGUUCCAUGAUAGACAUCAGUGUUGCAAAGAAAAUGAACUGGCUAGGGAGGGAUGAUAAUUAAGAGAGCGUUUUCCUCUUUCUCAUUGAAAGAUGUGUUGCUGAUAACUGUGAGAAACAAUGGAUGUUGCAAAGAUGCAAAAGACAAAGAUAUCGAAGAUGCUGACAAGGACUGCAUGGUUACGAUACUCUUGUGAUAGGGAUGGGGAUAGGAAGGAGAGGAAACAAAAAACGGCAGCAGAAUAGCUAGGAGACCAACCGAUGAAUGGCUUGAAAUGACUUUGAAUUUUUUGGUAUUUGGUGAAUUAUCAUUAUUACCCUUUGACUUUAAUUUAGUUUUUAAUUUUAAUUUUUGAUUUAGUGUUUUUAAUUCAUGUAAAUGAUUUAAUUAGUAAACCGUAUCAAAUUAUCUUA